rnacentral:rRNA from 1 species
UAAUAUAAAGUCUAACCUGCCCAAUGAUUAAUUUUGAAUGGCCGCGGUAUUUUGACCGUGCUAAGGUAGCAUAAUAAUUAGUUUUUUAAUUGAAAACUGGUAUGAAUGGUUGGACAAAGAAAUAGCUGUCUCAAGUUUAAUUUAAUUAGAAUUUUAUUUUUAAGUUAAAAAGCUUAAAUAUAUUUAAAAGACGAGAAGACCCUAUAGAGUUUUAUAUUAAUAAUUAAAUUAAAUUUAAAGAAUUAUAUAUUUUAUUUAAUAUUUAAUAUUUUGUUGGGGUGACAAAAAAAUUUAAUAAACUUUUUUUAUAUUUUUACAUAAAUUUAUGAAUUAGUGAUCCAUUAUUUAUGAUUAAAAGAUUAAAUUACCUUAGGGAUAACAGC